rnacentral:rRNA from 1 species
GACGAAGGAUGCGAGCGUUAUCCGGAUUCAUUGGGUUUAAAGGGAGCGUAGGUGGCCUUGUAAGUCAGUGGUGAAAUCCUGUCGCUUAACGAUAGAAUUGCCAUUGAUACUGCAGGGCUUGAGUACAGAUGCCGUUGGCGGAAUAUGACAUGUAGUGGUGAAAUACUUAGAUAUGUCAUAGAACACCGAUUGCGAAGGCAGCUGACGAAACUGUAACUGACACUGAGGCUCGAAAGUGUGGGGAUCAAACAGGAUUAGAAACCCCUGUAGUCC